rnacentral:rRNA from 1 species
AACAAACGCUGGCGGCGUGCCUAAUACAUGCAAGUCGAACGGGGAAAGUAGCAAUACGAGUACUAGUGGCGCACGGGUGAGAAAUACAUGGGUAAUCUGCCCUCGAGUUUGGGAUAACCAGUCGAAAGAUUGGCUAAUACCGGAUAUGACCACAGGAACUGCGGAUCUAGGGGUAAAAGGUUUUUCGCUCGAGGAGGAGCCCAUGUGGGAUUAGCUAGUUGGUGAGGUAACGGCUCACCAAGGCGACGAUCCCUAACGGGUCUUAGAGGAUGAUCAGUCACACUGGAACUGAGACACGGCCCAGACUCCUACGGGAGGCAGCAGUAGGGAAUAUUGCACAAUGGAGGAAACUCUGAUGCAGCGACGCCGCGUGGGUGAUGAAGGCCUUCGGGUCGUAAAGCUCUGUCGUAUGGGACUAACACAAUGAAGGUACCAUGCAAGAAAGGAUCGGCUAACUUCGUGCCAGCAGCCGCCGUAA